rnacentral:snRNA from 1 species
GAAUGUGAGGGUGAUCUUACUGUGACAUCUGUCAUUCCACUGAUCUCCAGGGUUGAUUUGGCUGAUCUGGCUGGCUAGGCAGGUGUUAACUUCCUCCCUCACCGCUCCAUGUGCAUCCCUCCAAAAGCUGCAUGCUCCAUUGAGGAAGACUACCUUUCUAAUAGAGGAGGACCGCUCUUCCCUCAAGGGUCUAACAGUAACUGCACUCCCCUGCUGGUGCCUCCAGACAAGCUCUCAAGGUCCAUUUGUAGGGUGUUCAAUCUUCCAAGACUCCAGACAUAUCCAAAUGAGGUGCUGCUUGUGGUAGUCUGCUUUUCUUU